rnacentral:rRNA from 1 species
UACGUAGGGGGCAAGCGUUGUCCGGAAUCAUUGGGCGUAAAGAGCGUGUAGGCGGUUCGGUAAGUCGGCUGUGAAAGUCCAGGGCUCAACCCUGGGAUGCCGGUCGAUACUGCCGGACUAGAGUUCGGAAGAGGCGAGUGGAAUUCUUGGUGUAGCGGUGAAAUGCGUAGAUAUCAAGAGGAACACCUGCGGCGAAGGCGGGUUGCUGGGCCGACACUGACGCUGAGGCGCGAAAGCCAGGGGAGCGAACGGG